rnacentral:rRNA from 1 species
UACGUAGGGUGCAAGCGUUAAUCGGAAUUACUGGGCGUAAAGCGUGCGCAGGCGGUUAUGUAAGACAGAUGUGAAAUGCCCGGGCUUAAACUGGGAACUGCAUUUGUGACUGCAUGGCUAGAGUUUGGCAGAGGGGGGUAGAAUUCCACGUGUAGCAGUGAAAUGCGUAGAUAUGUGGAGGAACACCGAUGGCGAGGGCAGCCCCCUGGGUCAAGACUGACGCUCAUGCACGAAAGCGUGGGGAGCAAACAGG